UUUGAAUUCGUAAAGAAUGUGCACUCGGAGCAAGGAAAUCGAUUGACAAGCUCGCGGAAAGCUUCGACUACGGUAUCGCGUCGACGAUGAGUAUGCAUAACGGCGGGAAAAUACGCGUGCCAAUAAACAUUUGCACGAACGACGUACGCCACGGGCCUGCGAGUGUAACGUACGCGUUGAAUCGUCGGAACCGAGCUAUAUUUGUCUCGGUGAAACGAAAAAAAUAAGAAGUAAAUUCGCGGAAAUAUCGGAGAAAACGGCUACGGUCCCGCAUCCCGAGAUCGGUUUCGCAAAAGUCGUCGAACAGAAGAGAAAGAGGAAACAUAUUUACUGAUGACACGUCGGAACAUAAUGCCGCCACGGGUGUUUGAACGCUUCAAAAUGGCGAUUCCAUUCUUCGCGGAUUCAUGUUGGUCAACGGUACGGUGAACACAAUUAUGGUCGUUAUCGUACCCUGGCAAAUUGUUUAUCGUCCAUGCUUACCUCCUCUAUAAUUCUAUUUACAUAUUGCGUAAAAAUAAAUGCAAAUAUUGUAAGCAAAUUA